rnacentral:rRNA from 1 species
UCGGGAAUUUUGGGCAAUGGGCGAAAGCCUGACCCAGCAACGCCGCGUGAAGGAUGAAGUAUUUCGGUAUGUAAACUUCGAAAGAAUAGGAAGAAUAAAUGACGGUACUAUUUGUAAGGUCCGGCUAACUACGUGCCAGCAGCCGCGGUAAUACGUAGGGACCAAGCGUUGUUCGGAUUUACUGGGCGUAAAGGGCGCGUAGGCGGUGUGUCAAGUCAGUUGUGAAAUCUCCGAGCUUAACUCGGAACGGUCAACUGAUACUGUCACACUAGAGUACAGAAGGGGCAAUCGGAAUUCUUGGUGUAGCGGUGAAAUGCGUAGAUAUCAAGAGGAACACCUGAGGCGAAGGCGGGUUGCUGGGCUGAUACUGACGCUGAGGCGCGAAAGCUAGGGUAGCAAACGGGAUUAGAUACCCGGGUAGUCCCUGAGCGGGC